rnacentral:lncRNA from 1 species
GUAAAUUUGUACUCUCUACUUUUGUCUUUCUUUUUCUAGAAAAAGAGAAAAUAUAAUGUACUUACUGUUCUUUUAAUUAUCCUCAUUUCUUUAGCUUAUGGACAAUUUCAACUCAGCAGAAGAGAGGAGGAGGAGGAAGAAGAGAUAUCUCAUCCUGUCACUGCCAUUCUUCGGAGAUAAUGCGGUUAAGGUUCUUUGAACAGCAUUCAUGGUUGCAUGUAUCAAGUUGAUACCAGGAUGAGAAUUGGACUUGUGGUUCUCCUCAUUUUCCUCUCUUCUUCUUUGCCUCCUCUGCAGUAUCCUUGUCCUUCCCUUGGUCUCUCCCAACCCCUUCCUAGCCUUUGUCCACCUCCUCCUCCUUGCUCCUGUUGCACCUUCUACUCAUCCUUUUCCUUUUUCACGUCCUCCUCUACUUCCAUUUCUUUCUCCACUAUUAUCUUUUUUCUUCUUUUAAAAAUCUUCUUAAUAAUGACAAGUUAUCCAGUCUUUACUGAGAUAUCUCCUGGAUGGUAAGGUAUGAUGGACAGGUUUCUAGGCUCAAGAAAUGAGGUAAUGAGAGUCAGCUUCCAGCUACUCAGUUUUCACUUAGUGAAAAGAUGUGGUGGGGUUUGGAGUUCAGAACUUCAAACAUUUCUAGUAAAUUACCAUACUUGCCAUAGUGCUGUGUCCCUUUUAAGAUCAAGGACAAAUUGGAAGAAAAGACCUAGUUGAAGUUUCAACUCAGUUUCAUUCCAUUGUCUCUUUUAUGAGUCCUUUUUAUCCUUUUAAUUUAAUCCUGUCCUAUCAUUAAUACCCCAAUUGCAAAACAAUGAACUUGUACUACUUAAGUACAAGAGUAAAUAUUUGUAGUAGCUUUAGGCUGAAAACAUGACUGUGUCUUCUAUUAUACCCAUUAUAAACUGCCAACCCACCUGUGAUUUUUUGGCUUCAGCUGCUUUGGAGAUUAUUAGUCUUUGUGAGUAGUGAGCUCUGCUUGUGUAUUUUCCAUCAUGCAAUGUAAAUACUUCUUAUUAUCUUAAGGACAGAAAUCUGUAUUUACUUUUCAUUUGUAUUUGAUAGAAUAGAUAUUUCCCAGGAUAAUGGACUGUCUGCUUAUGGUUCUGCCCCCCCACAUGGAGAAGGCAAAGUUAAAUUUUGCUUGAGUACCCCUUGAUUCUUAGAAGCAUUGUACCUAGCUCUGAUAGCCUUCUCCAGUUUAAACAUAGGAGAAAUUUGGGUAAAAGGGCUAUCAUUGUAAUUUAAAUGAAAAUUGUGCUUUGUGCAUUAACCUAACGUUCUAUUCUUCUUAAGAAAGCACUUCCCCUUCUCCAUCCCCAUCCCUAUUCUGUACAAAGAAUCAAACUCCUUUCAUUCCCCAGUAAGGUUUGGAAUAUGGAACGGACCAUGCUUGACAGAUAAUCCAGCUUCAAGGUUUACUGCUGACUUGGCUGGAAACUCGACAGAUCCAGAACGUUAUACAACAGGUUUGGUGAUGUAUGGAUGUUAGAAGAAUUGGGCAGAUGAAUAGUUUCAACUUCAUGUGGGCCUUUGUUUAGAUGUUUUUCAGCAGCACCUAAUCUGAAUUCAGUACCCAGCCAAGUCUGAGGGUGCUACAAUUGUAAGAAGUUUCUGGAUGAAGGGCUCAUUUGGUUGGAACAUGGUGCUAAUGAGCUCUAGAUCCUAGGCUCUAACCCAUGUGCAGCCAUUUAGCUCUGUGGGUUCGGGCAUGGUGCUAAAGAACUGUGGUCACAUGGUUUCUAAACCGCAUGUGUGUCCUUUUACAUAGACUGCACCACUCACCCUAGGAAGCCUUUUUCUGAACAAAGGUUAUCACCCACCUGGAAGGCCCAGCAAAACUGUUGUGUAAAUAUUAUUUCAAAAUCUGUUUUCAAUUCUGGAGACAACAGUUUAUAGUAUAUCCCUUACUGGCUGUGUGUUAGCAGUGUCACAUUACUAGAAAGACAUCACUUUUGAAAUUUCCAAAUGAACAGAGAGUGUACCAGAAGUGACAGACAAGAGAAAUUGCUAGAUUCUCCCCAUUGACAAAUUCAAAUGCAUAUAUUACAUGUGUUAAAUGCCAAGAAACUGUAUCUUGGUACAAAUUAGGACAUUUGGAGAAAUGCUUUAGUAAGAGCAAGAUCUACAUGUAGGCUGUCUGAUAUUUAACCUUAAAAGGACAAUUUUUGAGUGGGGGGAUUCCUCUUGUGUCCUAGAUAUCCUGGAUGAUGGUAAUCAUGUUUUUGUCACUGUACAUGUGAUAUAUUCUUUCUCAUGUGUUUUGAUCUGACAAUCUCUUUCACUGUAAAUUCCUGUAUAUCUUCUAAGUUAAGGUAUCUUUCCACACUAUUGCACAAAGUUCUACAAAUGCAUAUAUAUAUAUAUAUAUACUAACAUAAAUAUGUAAGUGCACACAUACACCAACACACACAGUAUAGCAUGUUAGCACAGUAAGCUGUCACAACUUCGUUGUUUCUAAAGACUCUCAACAUCUCUAGACUCUGAGGCAAAGGUUCACAGAUGGACACACUAUUGUCAUCUGGUGCACAUUGGGAAAGAAAGGAAAAAUACCUGGGAUAAACCAUCUGAGAGUAAAAUGAAGUUGUUUAUUCUAAUGCUUCUUAUUCACAGACUUUUAUGUGUCUAUUUCAAACUUAUUCCCCUUGUAUCAGUGAUAGUGCUAUAUCGUGUAUGUGAUUAUGACUUUGUAUUCUAAUUCUUGAAGUAAGAUCUUAUGAUAGUUAUCAGUAAGUGUUCAUUUUCAAGAUUUCAUUCCAUAUUGCACAACUAAAGAUGGUUGGGGGAUUAUAUAAAGUUUCAGCUUUGAAUAUGGACUUCCUGCAAACAUUUAGAGUAAGCUCCAUACUAAAGGAAAGAAGAGCCUUAUCUGUCUUCUCAAGGUGCACAUGGAGGAAACAGUGUAGAUUACCCUGGUGAAAAUUUCCUGACAUAAUAUAGUCAGGCCCCAGUAAAAGUGUCUGUGUUCAGAUUUAUGAAAAUGCAUUUAUGUUAAUUGGAUUAGUUGAAAUGUAGCAUCUGGAAUGAAUUUCUUGUUCUUUUGUGAUGAGACCUGCCAGUUUAUUUUUAUAGAAAGAUCAUAGAAGGCACCAAAUAGAGAGAUACUGUGGCUCAUGGCUUUUGAUUUGUAGGGUUUUAUAGGUGGCAAGUCUGUAUUAAAAGUGGGGAAACUGAAUAGUGUACCUGUAACUAUAGACAAGAGGCUGCCAAUGCUUUUGCACCUGCAACUUCAUUCAGAAGAAAGUUUGUGUAAAAAUCCCCCAGAAUAAGAAAAUUUAAACAUAAAAAAUAGAAAUGAAAAGCAUCUAUAGAGUAGUUAGUGAAAUUUCAUCCAUCACCUUGAUGUGCAACCCCCCUCCCCCAUGGAAUGGAACUGAACUUUAUUAUACCUUAAUGCUUUCAGCUUUUCAGCUUUGCUCACAAGCUCUUUGGAAGUAUGGACUAUAUCCUAGGCAGUGUACAUAGGCACAUGCAACACUUGCUCUUUGAUUCAAGCCUACUAGUGAUACUGACUGUAUGGAACUGAAGCCUUCUGGGAGAAAGACUGAUGCUGUCAAAUUCUACUCAAAUGACAGAAGAAAUAAGGCUCCCUGAAGUGAUAUUGAUGAAUUACCCCUUCACAAAGGGAAAGAAAGAAAUCGUACCGUUCUACAACAGGAGAAUGAACAUUAUUCCUAUCAAUGUGCUUGUUACUUACUUACUUGUAGCUGUUGCUUUAAAUGCUAUCUACUAAUGUUGUUAUUUCUCUCUACUCUAAUUUAAUGUUUGACUAUGUACCCUAUAUCAGUGAGAGGAGGUGUCAAAGGGAAAGGGGAUAAUGUUGUUGCAGGGGCAUGUAAGUAGUAGUAGAUUAAAACAUAUAUAUUUACAUAAAUAUAUACUAAAUAAAGCUAUUCGUUCAAAG